GUCGAGAAUCUUCCGCAAUGCGCGAAAGCGUGACGGAGCGACACCGCGUGAUGGAUGAAGUCCUUCGGGGCGUAAACAUCUUUUAUAAAGGAGGAAAUUUUUGACGUUACUUUAUGAAUAAUGGGCUCCCAAUCUCGUGCCAGCAGGAGCGGUAAUACGAGAGCCUCAAGCGUUAUCCGGAAUCAUUGGGCGUAAAGGGUGCGUAGGUAGUUUGAUUAGUCUCCCGUUAAAAGUUCGAGCGUAACUCGAAGAGAGCGGGGGAAACGGUCAAACUAGAGUAUGUGAGAGGUGUGUGGAACUCAUGGUGUAGGGGUGAAAUCCGUUGAUAUCAUGGGGAACACCAAAAGCGAAGGCAGCACACUGGCACAUCACUGACACUGAGGCACGAAACCUAAGGUAGCGAAUGGGAUUAGAAACCCCUGUAGUCC
rnacentral:rRNA from 1 species